GGAGCGAAAUUUAGUAGCGAAGUAGCUGAUUUCACACUGUCAAGAAAAGUCUCUAUCGAGGUUAAAGGUCCCCGUACCGCAAACCGACACAGGUGGGUGAGGAGAGUAUCCUAAGGCCAGCGAGAGAACUGUUGUUAAGGACCUCGGCAAAAUGACCCCGUAACUUAGGGAUAAGGGGUGCCACCAUCAGGUGGCCGCAGAGAAUAGGCCC
rnacentral:rRNA from 1 species